rnacentral:misc_RNA from 1 species
AGGCUAGUGACCGAUACAUCCACCUAUAACCACGUGAAAAAAUUUUUAAUUUUUAUUCAACAUCUCGGCUGCUUAAUAAAAAAAGACGGUGUACAAAUAAAUUCAAUCACAAUAGUUUGCGAUUAAGACCCCUCUCAUCAACCAUAUAUUAUUGAUCAUGGCAACAUUAAAAUUGUUUGGAAUUCACUUUCUUUAAUGCUUCUUGAGUAUCAAUAAUCUCCCUAAAUGCUUGUGUAUAAACCCAACCAAACUCAAAUGGGAAAAUGAAUAGCAUGAACAUUUUUGAGCUCUUCAAUCUCAACCUCCCCCUCGUGUAUACUAAAAACACAAAAGUUG